CACGUAGGUGGUUUCGUGUGUCGAUGGUGAAAUCCUGCAGCUCAACUGUAGAACUGCCGUCGAAACUACGAGGCUAGAGGACAGGAGGGGAGAGUGGAAUUCCUAGUGUAGCGGUGAAAUGCGUAGAUAUUAGGAGGAACGCCGGUGGCGAAAGCGACUCUCUGGACUGUUUCUGACACUGAGGUGCGAAAGCUAGGGGAGCAAACA
rnacentral:rRNA from 1 species